GUCGAACAACGUCGGUUGUAUUUACAUGUGAAGUUGGGAACACUUUAGCAGGAGCUUCUGUUGCUUCGUGUCAAUCCGAUGGCACAUGGGAUAUACAGCAACCAUCGUGUGUAUCCUGUUCUGGAUUAAGUGUGAUAGGCAACGGGACUAUGACGAUGAGUUCCAAUGGCACUUUGACGCUAGCGAAACACACAUGUGACCUUGGUUUUACACUGGUAGGGACAGACACACUUGUGUGCUCUGAAUCUGGAUCUUGGUCAUCUAGUCAGCCGGUUUGUGUUGCAUGUCAGCAGCCAACUAUUUUGGAAAACGGUAACUUUGUGAUAAGUACCGAUGGGCAACAGACAACCGCAAACUAUUCGUGUCAAUCUGACUAUACCCUCGUUGGAGACGACGUCCAGUAUUGUGGAAAUGAUGGCUCAUGGACGGUCAA